rnacentral:rRNA from 1 species
GACAAACGCUGGCGGCGUGCUUAACACAUGCAAGUCGAACGGAAAGGCCCUGCUUUUGUGGGGUGCUCGAGUGGCGAACGGGUGAGUAACACGUGAGUAACCUGCCCUUGACUUUGGGAUAACUUCAGGAAACUGGGGCUAAUACCGGAUAGGAGCUCCUGCUGCAUGGUGGGGGUUGGAAAGUUUCGGCGGUUGGGGAUGGACUCGCGGCUUAUCAGCUUGUUGGUGGGGUAGUGGCUUACCAAGGCUUUGACGGGUAGCCGGCCUGAGAGGGUGACCGGCCACAUUGGGACUGAGAUACGGCCCAGACUCCUACGGGAGGCAGCAGUGGGGAAUAUUGCACAAUGGGCGGAAGCCUGAUGCAGCAACGCCGCGUGCGGGAUGACGGCCUUCGGGUUGUAAACCGCUUUCGCCUGUGACGAAGCGUGGGUGACGGUAAUGGGUAAAGAAGCACCGGCUAACUACGUG